CUAAACCCAUUCUUAGAGUUCAAAACCCAAACUAUAGAAAGCUACCAUUGUUGAGCAUCAAAAGCUUACCUUAGAGCUUGCUCCAAUGGCCUAAAGAGGAAGAAGAAGAAGAUGAAGCCCACUUCUUCAAGCUUUCUCCUCCAUCUCCACCUUCUUGCUCCACUUCUUAGAGAGAGAAAGAGAGAGUUUUAGAGAGAGAGAGAGGGGCUACGGUUGAGGGAAAUGAGAAAGGGAGAGAGCCAUCCCCUCUCUUUGUCUCUAAGUCAUGUAACAAAUACAAUAAGCCCCCUCAACUCUUAGCCUCUCAAACAGCCCAAAAUGGGCAUUUUCGCGCUCGGGGACCGGUCCUUGCGGUGAGAGACCGGUCCCCGAAGGACCAGAAUUUCAGCAUUUUUAGGACUUAGCCAAAUUUCAGCCUUUUUCACCGUUUCUUCUCCGUUUUCGCCCGUUUUCGCUCGUUUGACCUCCGAUUCGUUUCAAAUCGAACCGAGCCUCUUCAAACAUGUUUUCGAGCAUGUUUUUAUUAUCUUUUCAUCCACGCUAAUGCCGGAUUUAGCUCACGGCCCAACAUGGCCUUUCGGCUCCGUUUUAGCGCCUACGCACACCGAAACCCCCGAAUGCUUCCGGGCCUCACCGAAUUUCACCGGAACCUUGCAAAUGGUCUUCCAACCAAAUGUACACCGUAACUUCAUGAUUUUAGAAGUCCGAUACCUUACAUCCACCCCUCCUUAAAAGGACUUUCGUCCUCGAAACUAACUCACCUCAAACCCAAUUCACACCCUAAUUCUCUUUAUUGAGUGACAAGGGGUACAGUGCACUUUUGCAUCCCGGAGUGGCCUUGCGCUUAUUGGAACUAUCCGAAGGCCCACUACGGAGGACGUGAGACUAAAUUCGCUCACAUUCGCUGUGUGUAAGUCCAAAAGUGCAUUACGGGUCUCCGUCAUUCUGGGUGGUAGCGCAAGUCGAAAUUCAACGACUCUACGCCCUCCACACCAUUCACUAACUGGCCCACUAAGGCCGAACCACUUCCUUCGAGACCGGGACUACCCGCUAUCCUCAUGGUGUGGAGCUAUCAAGAACGCACCAAUAGUCAUAUGGUCCACCACCACGACACAGCACACACGGGUAAGCCCUCUAGAAUCACCUGAGUGUCAACAAAGCGGCGCUCCGCCACUUUGGCUAUCCAAGAGUUCGUAUUUCUCAUUUACGACUCUUCGUCACUUUCACCAUCCCUCUAGGGGUCACACUCCAAUUCGAUCACCAAUAUCGCUUAGAAGCAAUAUCAUUGGUGCAUCGACCCACUGCGAGUGCUCCAAUCGCAUUUGGAUCUUUGCUCUAUUGAGAGAUGGCCUACUCCGGCGCAUCUCGAAUCUUAAUCCACAAAGAGCAUUAUCCUCAAGCUCUCCACCCGCGUUCCAAACAUGACACCAAGCCCGUCUGGGCAAAUUUCACGCUCGGGACCGGUCUCUCUCCUGCCUGGGACCGGUCCAGAGGACCUCCUCAAUCUCACGUGUUCGGGAACCGGUCCUCUGGCCUAGGACGGUUGCCUCGCGCUUGCGCACACCCUCAGACCUCGAGGCAACCGGUCCUUCCCUCCUGGACGCGUCCCGAGAGCAAGCUCGCGUAGACAACCGUUCCGCGAACGCGGUCCCUCCCACCAGGACCCGAUCCCCGAGAGCAAGUUUGCCAAGUGCAAAUUCUUGCACAUUUCUCUCGCGACUCCAUUGAAUGCACUUUUGGUGCAUUUUGACUUCUUCGGCUUUCCGAAACACCUCACUCGACAAUUAGUCGAUUUGAGUGAAGUCCAACUCUCAUUUUGAGAAUUCACUUCCUUGCACCAACUCCUCCACGGAGUUACUGGCUAAACCGAUUAUGUCGGCUUCCACAGGUGGACCAACAGUCACCAACACCACGUAGGCCUACUGCCCCCCAACCCACAUCGCUCACAAAUCGAGGCUCUCGCUCGCAUCGUAGACCCAAUCAUCAUUGGGCGAAAUUCUCAUUGGAGAAUUCGCACACACUCCAACUAGGAGCAACCAAGACCCCAAACCACGUCAAGUCCUCGGGUUGGGUCACAACCGCACUCUCAGUGCAUCAUCAAUUUCACGAUCCAACACGUGGCAUUCCACACUCCAAGGUCUAAGCUCGGACUACCGUCCUGACCAAAACUCUCCGCCCUACCUAUAGGUAUUAGGCCGCUGCCUCUCGCAGCUGACUGCGCCUGCCAAAUGGGCCCAGGCUCCACAGUCCACGAAGGGUCCAGGCACGGGUCGUCCCCAAGCACUACCCGCUAACGUCGUCCUACACGACACACUCUACAGAGCUACGCACUCUACCGGCUCCUAGGCACCUAAUGCGAGCCACUAGCCCUACGAGUGAUCUAUCGCCCGCUUCACACUUAUGUUAAGGAUUUUAUAGGUUGGCGAAUUUCGUAAAGUUGUUUGGAGUCUUGAAGAGUUGAUCGCAGAAGUUAUUCAAAUUGGAGAACGAAGACUCAUUCGGAAAGCUCGACACCUAAGGUAUGAAGAAAAGAUCAUUUGUGGUGAAGAUACCUAAUUAGAAUAAGUUCAGAAGGCUUAGAUUGCUUUAAAAUAAUUUUUCUGAACUUUCAUGUGUUUUGGGACCGGUCCCUGAAGUGGAGAGACCGGUUCCCCUAAGGUCCUCACUCCGUGAGUUCUGAUGCAACCGGUCCCCUGAGAUGAGAGACCGGUUCCCGAAUCUUGGUAGUUCUGUCGCGCAGCGAGGGACCGGUCUCAAGCUUGAGAGACCGGUUCCCGAACACUGAGUUUUUGAACACGCAGAGAGGGACCGGUUCCUCACUUGAGAGACCGGUCUCUCACAGACCGGUCUCCUCGAGAAGACCGGUCUCUGAGGACGACACAGGUUUUUAAAAACGACUUUUUGCAAUCCUAGUCUACUUCUAAGUCUUCUAAACAUAUAAAUAAGCUAUGUGGGUCAUCUAAAAAUUAAGGCUUUGAAUAUUUACCAAUUCUAAACCCUAGAAACUUAUUUCUCUCCGUUUCAAUGCUUAGAUUUACAUGAUGAGUUUCUAGCAAUCAACAUCGGCUUGAUUCUUCGUUGUUACUCAAUAAUUCUUACGAGAAUCAAGUAGAUGUUUGAUAAAAGGUGAACUCCCAUAGCUUAUGGUUUUCAAAAGUUAAAUCACCACAAAUCUUCGAUUCUACAAGCUCCGGAAGGAGGUUCGGCGCGUGGAUCUCGCGUGAAGCCGAGGAUUCGGUGGACGCUUCGAGGAGUUGAUGCAUUGACGCUGCGUGGAGUUGCAGCAAGGUCGAUUGGUGGAUUCCUAUCGAUCGAGGACCGGCAAAGAUCACCGUCAACAAGAAAUCGGUAAAUUGAGUCGUGUAAUUUCGUCGAAAUCACUUGUACUCGAGUUUUCUUUCUGGAUUUUCUUUGCGUGAUCGGUCCCGUGGGUUUUUCACUCCGAUUUGGAGUUUUCCCACGUUAAAUUCUCGGUGUGCUGUUUUAAUUUUUGCUACUUUAUUUUGUUUGCAUCGGGUUUUUCGAGUUUGCCGGAUUUACACCUAUUCACCCCCUCUCUAGGUGUUACUUACCUUUUAGAUCCUUGGGAUCCAUAUCUCACAAGUGGUAUCAGAGCGGGUAUAGGCUGUAAUACAUGGCUGAGGGCGGUAACAUCAAUCGACCCCCGCUCUUCGAUGGCACUAACUACGCCUAUUGAAAAGUCCGUAUGAGGGCGUUCCUUAUUGCUAUUGACGAGCGGGUUUGGCAAGCCAUUGAAUUCGGAUGAAAAAAUCCUACCGAAGUAAUCGAGAAUGUUACUGUGCCGAAACCUAGAAAUAAAUGGACGAAAGAGGAAAAUGAACUAUCUUCGUUCAACGGAAAAGGUAUCAAUGCUUUAUUCAAUGCUUUAAAUCAAACUGAAUUUUCUCGCGUCUCGGCGUGUGAAACGGCCAAAGAGAUUUGGGACACUUUGCGAGUUACACACGAGGGUACAAGCUUGGUUAAGAUUCAAAAAUUGCAAAUGCUUACUAGUAGAUUUGAUUCCAUCCAUAUGGAAGAACAUGAAUCUUUUACCGAGUACUAUACUCGUUUGCAAGACAUUGUAAACACGUGUGCUAACUUGGGCGAGAAAAUCUCCGAUUUCCAAAAGUGUAUCGAAAAAUUUGAGAACCCUUCCGAACGAUUCCGUCCUAAGGUUGCGCUAUUUGAAACGGUCAAACAUUCCUGAUGAACUCAAAGUGAAGAAUUAGUAAGGUGCUCUUCAAACUUUAUGAAAUGACUUUUCCUUCUAAUUCGUCUUCUUCCAAGUCUUUUUCUAAAGCUUCAGGGAUGCUCUAAAAUCAACAAAAGGAGAUGUCACUUCAACCUUCAACAGAUUCAGAGUCGGAGCAAAGCUUGGAGGACUUUGAGAAACAACUUGCACUUCUAACAAAGAAGUUUCGUCGAAACUUUAGAGAAGAAGUUCCUUCCAAGUCUACUUCAUCCAAGACAAACAAAUCUAAAGGGGUUCGUCUUCUUCUUUCUCAACAAAAUACAAGAAUUGAAUAACUCUCAAAAGGACUCCACAAAAGAGAAGAAAGUGGUAUCAGAGCCAGAGGUCACGGGUUCGAUUCCUGCAUGCUGCAAAUGUGGCAGGUGCUGGAGGGGGGAUUGUUGGCUGUAAAUGAGGCCAGCAUCCUGCCUGUGGCGGGAGCCAUGUGGCGAGUCAUGUUCGAAAUGGCGUGAGUGCUGCGGUUGGGCCGAGUCAUGUUCGAAGUGGCGUGAGGCCAGGUGGGCCGAGUCACAAUCGAGACCCAUGGGCGCUGUUUCUGUACGCUUAAGUGAAUUGGUUGCGUAUUUCUAACAGCUCGAGCUUUUGGGAUUAAUGGUUAGCGCCAACGAUCCGACAACUUAGCCCUGCUAAAGUGCUACUGCCAAUUCACUCAAGCGGCUGAAUCGAAACCGCACUUCACGCGUAACUACAUUCGAGCGCUCUACGUCUCUACAGCGUCUCACACGAAGUCUAGCAUCAGGCAACUUAGCCUAUGCACGCCGGCCACACGAGCAACAACUCGUCCACCUCAGUUCGAGGUACUACUAGGCCCACAGGCCAAGUUCGGCGCUAAUCGACCAAUUUCGCAACAGUGGUUCAUCACCAUUGUUCGAUCUAUCGAGUCCACGUCGGAAAUACUCUUGGGAUAUCCGGGUGUCCCCAAACAUCAAGGCUCAACUCUUGCAAUAUCUAAUCUAUUGCAUCGAGAGUUCUCUUAUAUUUUCGAUUUCCAUUACGAGCCUCGUUUCUUAUCCAAAAUCACCACUAGCCAUUUGCUAGUGCCCAAUGGCUCUCUACCUGCCCCAGCAGGCGCCAUACUCUCAUCCUGCUAGCAUGCUCGGGUACCUACUUACUCGACCACUCGGUCCCUACUAUGUAAUGUAGUAAUAGUAGUAACUGACCAUAUGAUAAAUGCAUGCUAUGCAUCAACUUGAGAUCAUGCAAAGUAUAUGCUUGCUCAAUUAAUUCAUACCUGCUACAAUGACGUCAACAACAGCAGGCACCGCAACUCGGGUCGCUUAUCCAUGGCCACUUGGUGCUCGUCGCGAACCCUCUGAUUGCAUUGUUCUCAAUGGCCGCUCUCCUGACAAUGCCGCAGGUGGCACACCUGCAGGCUGUCCCAGAGAGGAAUAGGCCAUCGCUAGCGUCAAGGCCCGGCUAUCGCCUUUGCGGACACUUGUCCCGCACAUGGCCCGGCAGCCCACACCUGAAGCACUUGCCCUCACGCUGUUCACACUGCUGUGGGCAAUGAGGGCCCCCCCACAAAUAAUACAUCUCGCUGAGGACCAAAUGUGGUAAGUCCCCGGAGCUCGGGAUCGCGAGCGCGAACUUAUCAAAGUUCGUUGGGAACUUGACUGACCAUCAUGUCCACUCACUGGCUGUCCUUUCCCCUUUUCCUUGUAGUAUGCCUCGCGCUCCUCCCGCAGGGAUUCCUCACCUUGUUCUAUUCACAAGGCCCGAUCUUGGACGUCGGCGGAAGUCUGCAACUUAUGUGCAAGCACAAUCUUGCAAAGGUCUGGCCGAAGUCCACGCACAAAGCAGUCGGCCAUGUCCUUGUCAUCCCGCGCUACGUUCGGGACGCAACGCACGACACGGGAGAAUUCCCGCUCGUAUCGCCUCACGGUGCUGUUUACUUGCCACAUCUUCGGAAACCUUUCUGAAGCUUCCUCGCUUACCAUCAGGGAAUCGAACGGAGAAUACCAAUUCCCGAACUUAUCCCAGACCAUAGGAGGGAUACCAGGCAAUCGGUUCCGUCGAAUGCCUUUCCACCACACCUUUGCCGACUGUUUACAAGCAGCGUACGGCUAGGUGUGCCCUUCCUCACUCCACAACGCACAGAUCCCCGAAGGGGGUCUCACUCUCGGUUCGUCACCAGCAGCUUGCCGGCACCGACCAAUCACCAAUUUCUUUAGGUAGGCGACAUACCACCACGACUUAUGCAUGCUGGGUAAGUCUCUGACCUGCGUCCUGGUCUCUACUAUACUAAUAUGUAAAUAGUAGUAAAAAGACCACAAGCAAAUGCAUACAAAUGCUCAAACUACUUCAUGAUAGAAUGUAUGAUUGCUUUAAUUAAAUCAUACCUGCGGUAACAUCACCAACAGCAGCAGGUCCCUCGACAAGAGCCGCGUAUCCAGGGCCGCUUGGCGCCUCCUGUGAAUCCUCCGGCUGCUCGACCACCCCGAGCCCUCCAGACUGUGCCACAGGCUGCACAUCCACCAUCUGUCCCGAAGAGGUGAAUGUCGACGCUGUCGGCGGGAGUCGUCCAUCGUCCAAGGGGCAAUCAUAUUUCACGUGGCCAGACUGCACGCAACGAAAACACCUUCCUUUUCGCAGCACACACCGCCGCGCCUGGUGGGAUCCUCCACAAAUCACACACCCCGCAGAUACGGCGGUAGCAGAUUUACAAGUUUCCAAUGCAUAGCCAAUACAUUACUAACUCCAUCAACUAUCAUCUCAUUAUAGGGUUCCACAUCACAUAUAUAAACCUCAAGCAUGCUAGAUAUAAGUACUCAGCCAAUAUACAUUAUCUACAAAAAAGAACAUUGCAAGUAUAGGAUCAAACACAUCAUGUUUAUCACCCUAUAAUGACAAGAUGUCAAUUUGUGCUCAAUAUGAUAUUCGCAUUAUACCUUGCAUGUUCUUUGUAAUAAUGUAUUUGGUCUUAUAAAAAGUAUAGAUCUUAAUAUCUUAAGAGAGUUCUGCCUCUCGAGUGGAUGGGUGUAUGGAUUCCUUACCUACGUAUGUCAGCUAACCUUAUAGCGAAAUUCUAUUAAGCUCGUGGUCGUCACUCUCGAAUUCUGGCCGUCCUGCGGCCUGCAUUGCCACACGGCUCACCCAUACUCACGAUAGCGGACUGCAAUGCACCUCCUAAUCCGCAUCGACAUCCGUUCUGUUUUGGAGUUUAUUCCCGACACCGUGCUUACGAUUCCACUUACAGUGAAUUUUUGGAAGCUUCUGCCGCGAGCUGCGCAAUCUGUACCAAAAUCGGCUUCUUCUUCGAUAUUUUGUAACGCUCGACGGCAUCUUGCCAACCGUCAGCUUGUUCCAACGCGUUUCAGCGCUAUCAUUAGCGUUUUAUUACAAACCAUUUAGAUCAAACCCAUCUAAUUUGCAAAAUAGCAUUUUGAGCUAGAUUUGCUACUAUGCAAAAAUCCACCAUUAAAGCUUUUAGGAUUCAAGCAUCAAACCUUUAAUUAGUAUGCUAGAGUACUCUAACCCAUUCUUAAGAGUUCAAACCCAAACUAUAGUAAAGCUUACCAUUGUUGAGCAUCAAAAUUCUUACUUUAGAGCUUGCUCCAAUGGCCUAAGAGGUAAGAAGAAGAAGAUGGAAGCCACUCUCUUCAAGUCUUUCUCUCCAUCUCCACUUCUUGCUAACUUUUAGAGAAAGAAAUGAGAGAUUUUAGGAGAGAGGAGAGCGGGCUUACGGUUGAGGGAAAUGAGAAGGGACGAGAGAGCAUCCCCUCUCUUUGUCUCUAAGUCUAUGUAACAAAUACAAUAAGCCCCCUCAACGUCUUAGCUCUCAAACCAGCCCAAAAUCUGGCAUUUUCGCGCUCGGGGACGGUCCUUGCGGUCGAGAGACCGCGUCCGAAGCGACCAGAAAUUUCAGCAGGUUUUAGGCUUAGCCAAAUUUACCUUUAUUUUCACGUUUCUUCUCGUUUUUCGCCCAGUUUUCGCUCGUUGACCUCCGCAUUCGUUUCAAUCGAACGAGGCCUCUUUUUCAAACAUGUUUUCGAGCAUGUUUUUAUUAUCUUUUCAUCCACGCUAUGUCGGAUUUUAGCUUCACUGGCCACAUGCCUUUCGGCUCCGGUUUUUAGCGGCCUACGCACACCGAAACCCCGAAUGGCUUCCGGGCCUCAACCGAAUUUCCCGGAACCUUGCAAAUGUCGUUCUCACCAAAUGUACCACCGUAACUUCAUGAUUUUAAAAGUCCGAAUCACCUUUUACAUCCACCCCUCCUUAAAAGGACUUUCGUCUCGAAACUAACUCACAUCAACCCAAUUCAACCUCAAUUCUCUUUUUCAUUGAGUACAAGGGGUACAGCUGACUUUGCAUCCACGAGUUGGCCUUGCCGCUUAUUGAACUAUCGAAGGCCACUACGGACGGACGUGAGACUAAAUUCGCUCACAUCGCGUGUGUGUAAGUCCAAAACGUGCAUUACGAGGUCUCGGUCAUUCCUGGGUGUAGCGCAAGUCGAAACUUCAACACGACUCUACGGCCCUCCACACCAUUCACUAACUUGGCCCAACUACGGCCGAAACCACUUCCUGUCAGCCGGACCUACCGUAUCCUCAUGGUGUGGAGCUAUCAAGAACGCACAUAGUCAUAUGGUUCCCACACACACGACACAAGCACACACGGGUAAGCCCUCUAGAUCCCUGAGUGUCAACCAAGCGGCGCUCCCGCCACUUUGCUAUCCAAGAGUUCGUAUUUCUCAUUUACGGAUCUUCGUCAACUUUCACACAUCCCUCUUAGCGCGCGUCACAUCCAAUUCGAUCACAAUAUCGCUUAGAAGCAAUUAUAUUGGUGCAUUCGCCCACUGCGAGUGCCCAUCCAAUCGCAUUUUUGGAUCUUGUGGCUCUAUUGAGAGAUGCCAUACUCCGAGCGCAUCUCGAAUCUUAAUCCACAAAGAGCAUUAUCCUCAAGCUACUCCAACCCCUCCACAUGACGCCAGCCUGCUGAGGCAAAUUUCCGCUCCGGGGGACCGGUCUCUCCCUGCCUGGCGGGACCGGUCCAGAGGGACCUCCUCAAUCUCACCGUGUUCGCGGAACGGUCCCUCUGGCCUAGGGGACGGUUGCCAUCGCCUGCUGCCACAGCCUCAGCCUCGAGCGCAACCGGUCCUUCCCUCCUGCGACGGUCCGAGAGCAGCUCGCUAGUAGACAACCGUUCGCGAAUUCCGCGUCCUCCCACAGGGACGAUCCCGAGAGCAAUUUGCCAAAGUGCAAAUUCUUGCACAUAUUGCUCUCGCGGGACUCAUGUAAUGCACUUUUUGGUGCAUUUUACUUCUUCGGCUUCCGAGCACCUCACUCGACAAUUAGUCGAUUUUGAGUGAAGUCCAACUCUCGAUUUUGAGAAUUCACUUCCUUGCACCAACUCCUCCACGGAGUUACUCGGCAUAACCGAUUUGUCGGCUUUCACAGCGGAAUAGUGGACCAACAGUCAACCAACACCACGUGAGGCCUACUGCCUUAAACUGUUGUAAAUAUGCAUAGCGUCUCUCGCUCGAUCGUAGACCCAAUCAUCAUUGGGCGACAAUUCUCAUUUUGGAGAAUUCGCAACACUCCAACUAGGAGCAACCAAGACCCCAAAACACGUCAAGUCUCGGGUUGGUCGUCACAAACCGCAUCUCAUCAGAUGCAAUCAUCAAUUUCACGAUCCAACACGUGCAUUCACAACACUCAAGUACUAAGUACGAUACUACUCGUACUAAGACAAAACUCCCGCAAAUAACAUAAUAGGUAUAAAUAGCGUUGCUUCGCAGCUGACCAGCCUGCCAAAUGGACCAAGAGGAAUACACAGUCACAAAAGAGAAUCAGAGCACGGGAUAGAUCCAACACAAGCAACUAAAUCCUACCCGCUAACGUCGUCUACACGACACAGCUCUACAGAGUACGCACGUUCUACCGGCUCUAGGCACCUAAUUGCGAGCACUAGCCUACGAGUGAUACUUCGCCCGCUUCACACUUAGUUAAGGAUUUUAUAGGUUGGCGAAUUUCGUAACAGUUGUUGGAGUCUUGAAGAGUUGAUCGCAGAAUUAUUCAAAUGGAGAACGGAAGUCAUUCGGAAAAGCUCGAAAGCUCACACCUAGGUAAUGAAGAAAAGAUCAUUUGUGGUGAAGAUACCUAAUUAGAAUAAAGUUCAGAAGGCUUAAUUGCUUUAAAAUAAUUUUUGACUUUUCAUUGUGUUUUUGGGACCGGUCCCUUGAAGUGGAGAGACGGUCCCCUAAUUCGUCCUCACUCCGUGAGUUUGAUUGCAACCGGUCCCCUGAGUGAAGAGACCGGUUCCCGAUCUUGGUAGUUCUGUCGCGCAGCGAGGGACCGGUCUCAAGGCUUUGGAAUGAGACCGCGAUUCCGAACACUGAGGUUUAUUGAACACGCAGAGAGGGGCCGGUUCCUCACUUGAUAGACGGCGUCUCUCACAGCGACCGCGUCUCUCGCAGAAGACCGGUUCUCUGAGAAGACGACACAGGUUUUUAUAAACCCGACUAUUUUGCAAUUCCUAGUCUACUUCUAAGUCUUCUAAACAUAUAAAUAAGCUAUGGUGCGGUAUCUAAAAAUUAACGGCUUUGAAUAUUUACCAAUUCUAAACCCUAAGAAACUUAUUCUCUCGCUUUCAAUUGUUAGAUUUACAUAUGAGUUUCUAGCAAUCAAAUCGGCUUACAUUCUUUUUUACUCAAUAUUCUACGAGAAUCAAGUAGAUGUUUUGAUAAAAGUGGUGAACUCCCAUUAGCUAUAUGGUUUUUCAAAAGUUAAAUCACCACAAAUCUUCGAUUCUAAAGUCGGGAAGGAGGUCGCUGGGUGGGAUCUCGCUGUUGAAGCCGAGGAUUCGUGUGAGCUUCGAGGAGUUGAAUGCAUUGACGCUCGUUGGAGUUGCCCAGAGCAAUGGUCGAUUGGUGGAUUCCCUACCGAUCUGAGGACGCAAAGAUCACCGAUCAACAGAAAUCGCCGUAAAUUGGAGUCGUUGUAUUUUCGUCAAUCACUUGUACUCGAGUUUUUCUUUCUGGAUUUUCUUUGCGUGAUCCGGUUCCGUGGGUUUUUCACUCGAUUGGCAGUUUUCCCACCGUUAAAUUCUCGGAUUGUGCUGUUUUAAUUUUUGCUAACUUUAUUUGUUUGCAUCGGGUUUUUCGAGUUUGCCGGAUUUACACCUAUUCACCCCCUCUCUAGGUGUUACUUACCUUUUAGCUCCUUGGGAUCCAUAUCUCACAAAGUAGGUAUCAGAGCGGGUAUAGGCUGUAAUACAUGGCUGAGGCAGGUAACACAAUCGACCCGCUCCUUCAGGAUGGCCACUAACUACGCCUAUUGAAAAGGUUCCGGUUAGGCUUCUUAUGCCUAUGACGAGGGGUUGGCAAUGCCAUGAAUUCGGAUGAAAAAUUACCUACCGAAGUAAUCGAGAAUGUUACGUGUGUCCGAAAACCUAGAAAUAAAAUGGACGAAAAGAGGAAAAUGAAUAUCUUCGUUCAACGAAAAGGUAUCCAAUGCUUUAUCAGAUGCUUAAAUCAAAAUUGAAUUUUUCGCGGUUUCUCUGGCGUUGCUGAAACGGCCCAAGAGAAUUUGCCGGACACUUUGCGAGUUACACAACGAGGUACAGCUUGGUUUAGAUUCAAAAAUUGCAAAUGCUUCACUAGUUAGAUUUGAAUCCAUCCAUAUGGAAGAACAUGAAUCUAUUUACCGAGUACUAUACUCGUUUGCAAGACAUUGUAACAGUUGUGCUAACUUGGGUGCGAGAAAAUUUCCGUAUUCCAAAAUUGUUCGAAAAUUUGAGAACGCGCUUCCCGAACCGAUUCCGUCCUAAGGUUUGGGUAUUUGAAACGGUCAAACAAUACUGAUGAACUCAAAGCUAGAAGAAUUUAGUAAGGUGUUUUUCAAAACUUUAUGAAAUGACUUUUUCCUUCUAAUUCGUUUCUUCCAAGUCUUUUUCUAAAGCUUCAGGAUGCUCUUAAAAUCAACAAAAGAGAUGUCACUUCACCUUCAUCAGAUUCAGAGUCGGUAGCAAAGGCCUUGGAGGACUUGAGAAACAAACUUGCACUUCUAACAAAUAGAAGUUUCGUCGGAACUCUUAGAAAGAAGUUUUCCUUCCAAGUCUACUUCAUCCAAGACAAACAAAUCUAAGGGGUUCGUCUUCUUCUUCUCAACAAAAUACAAGAAAUAUCUGAUAACUCUUCAAAGCGACUCCACAAAGAGGAAGAAAGUUUAUUCAGAGCCAGAGGUCACGGGCCGUUCGGAUCCUGCAUGCUGCAAAUGUGUGCAGUUGCUGGAGGGGUGAUUUGGCUUAAAUGGGCCAAGCAUCCUGCCCUGUGGCGGGGGCAUGGGGCGAGUCUUAUGUUUCGAAAUGGCGUGUCACGCCCCGCGACCGCUACCAAUUUGGCUCGGCCCGGGCACGUCGAACAGACGCCGGACGGACAGCACCUCCCCUGUCCGCCCAAGGCUAACAACGAGAUUGUGUACAACAAGUUCCCAGGAAAAUAACUUGAAUACAUACACAAUCGAUAACUACAACGAGAGCACAAUCAGUGCAAAACAACCAAGAGCAAGAUACAAGUAUAGAACAUACAAGUAAUGAUAAAGAGAGAGCAUCUAUCUAUUACAUUCAUUCAGCCUUUAUAAUACAAUUCGAUUAUACAUUGAACUUCCAGAACAGAGUAUAAAGCUUACAUCUUCCAAAAUAUAACAUUAGCUUACAUUCAUUCCAGAAUAUCUCACAUCCUAUACAUCAUCUACUCUCAAAGCAUAAAAGGUGACUCUAAUGCAGAAAUAGGAAAGUAGACUAAUGCAACUAGGGCGCUAAGCCCUUACCGCGAUCCUCGCCGUGUGAACUCGCGCUCGGCCCUGUAGUAAAAUGGGGGUGAGAACUAACUUCCUUAGUUCCCAGUGGGUUCGGCCGCCGACUCCGCCGAUCUCCCCACUAGGUCCAAGUCGGGCACAAGUAGAUAAUCGAUAGAUAGAUAGAUAAGGAAAGCGGUAAAUGACAGGAGUAAAGCUACUCUACUAUGCCCAAUCAUAAAUAUAUGAAUGCAUGUACAAUGAAAUAGGUAAGCAACUAACCUGUUAUCAUGUCCAAAGGUGAAGCUAUUCACUCGUUCAUUAACCUCAUUUACUUGUUCAUUAAUCUCAUGGCUUACCCGAAGGCUCGCCUACAGCUCACUAGCCAUCUCGACACGUAGGGAGAAUUAACUCACACUACGGACCCGAGACCGUCUGGCGGGGCCAUAUAGGCAAUCCCUGGCGUGACCAACAUCCGGAGCGCACUACUUGUGUGGGGCUUCCAUCACAAGAUUUAACAGACCGUGAGCAUGAUCAAAUCCUCUAAGCUCGAGGAUACCCUGUCCUCUAGUGUCACAAUCAUCAUAUAGUCCAUAGGUUUUCCAUACGCUACGACUCAUAUGUAUCAUCUGUUCUUUUGCUUACUAUCAACUAAAUGCCACUCGUUCAUUUGUUUACUAUCAACUAGAUGCCACUCGUUCAUUAUUCAUCAUUUUCUCUACAUUAUAGGAUUCACAAAACUCGACCCAAUCCUCACUAAUCCUCUAGAUCCAAUAUCCAAUACAUGCUACAAUAUCAUCAAGGAAGGCAUAAGGAAAGGCAAUGCAGCAUAAUCCUAUAAUGCAAUAAUACAAGAUGCAAGGAUCAAAAUAUACUAAGACAUAGGAGGGAGCCCGAUUGCUUCGGGAUGGGCACCACCCACCUCUUGGCGAGGCCGCGAUAGUAGAAAGCUCGACGUUGCGAUUCCUGGACGCCGCUUGAACUCCUCGGGGCAAAGCGAGCCCUCAAGUACCCGAUUCGGCGAUUUCUCCGCACCCGCUCGUCGGAUCGGCAAACCGUUUUCGCCGACGCGUUCCGAGACCUAGCAAUUAGGUUUACGACCUAUUAAAAUAAAUCAAAACCCUAAAUUUCCCAAAACCCCAAUCCGUGCCCUAGAAUGGCAACGGGAAGGAAAUCCGCGGUGCGAGCUUCGAUUGUGAGCUCGAACCUUCUAUUUAUCCCUAAUAGGUUCCAUUCGAACCAAUUCUAAACCUUAAAAACCCAAAACCCUAAAAUCACCAUUAAAGGGUUGGAAGCUUACCUCUAACCUAAACUCCAAGCUUGAGGGAGAGGGAGAGAAGAUGAUAUCUUCUUCUUCUUCUUCUUAGUCUUCUCUUUCUCUUUCUUCUUCUUUCUCUUAUUCUUCUCCUUCCUCUUCUUCUUCUCCUUCUUCUCUUCCUUUUCUUUUCUUUCUUAGAGAGAGAGAGAAAAGAGGGUAAGAGAGAGAGAGAAAGCAGCUGAGAGUGAGAGAGAGGGUCCCCCACCUCUAAUAAAGGCCAUUUUGCAUAAAAGCCCCUCAACUUUCACCCUAGUGCACUACCCUCACUGGGCAGUUUUCGCGCGGAGGGACCGGUCUCCCCGACUUGGGACCGGUCCCCGAAGGCUGCCACUUCGAGCAGAGGGAUUUUCGCGUUCGAGAACCGGUCCUUGCCUGAGAGACCGGUCCCCGGGAGACCGGUCCUUGUCCGAGAGACCGGUUCCCGAGAGCUGCAUUCUCGGGACUUAGCCAAAUUUGGCUAAGUCUCGCCAGGCCAACGUUCGGGAACCGGUCCCUGCCCAUCAGGGACCGGUCUCAUCAGAGACCUCCGCAACCCAGCCUGAUGGAACCGGUCCCUCCCUGCUAGGGACCGGUCCCCGAGAGCAUUUCUGCUCCAGUGCAGAUUUUGCACUGGUGCUCCCGCGGACCCUUCUUUAAUGCACUUUAUGCAUUAUAAUCGCCUUCGGACUUUCCGAAGCCUACACCCUCGACGAAUAGUCGAUUCUAAUCGAAGUCUAAU
rnacentral:lncRNA from 1 species